GCACAGAAGUCUGACACCUCCACGGGCUGCAGGAGUCUCAGAAUGCUGGAGCUGAAACAUCUGCUCAAGAUAUGGAAUGAAGGCCCCCAGGGAAGUGACCGAACAGGCUGAGAGCAGGGGACAGCACCGGCCUGUGCCCCGCUACUUUGAAGGCACGCUUGCAGAAUGGAAAUUCACGUGGAUAGCAACAGAUGAGGCAGGGAAGACUGGUUAUCAGAUGGACUUUCUCUUCCACCACCUGGUGUCUUUAGACUUGGUGCCUGGUUUUUCUGCAGUCACAGGUGCCCAGGUGGCUCUCUCUCUUGUCCCCAUUGGGCAGAGGCUGCCCUUCUAUCCCAGCCCUUCCCUAGCUGGGCUCACCCUCUGGAUGCUGUCUCCGGCCUCGCCCUUCACACUCAGGAUCAGCUCUCUGUUGGAGCCCCAGGCCAGGGAGAGCUGGGGGGCCCUGGCCAGACACCGGGCAUCACAGAGCUCUUCUGCUGAGACGUACUGCCAACACCGGCAGCUGUGGAGAGGAGAGGGUGAGAGGCCUGCCCGGUGGGUGUGGAGCAGCUGUCUGCUCCCUGAUGCCCCUCAGCCCUGCAGGCCCGUCCAGAAGGACACGAGCCGUCUAUGCUUCCUAAGCAGUGACUGCACUUUUAAUGGAGGUCCACGAAGGACUUGUGACACUGUGCUCUCGCCCUGCCUCUGCACGAGCUGGGCGUCUCCCAGAAUGCGAGCAGUGCCUGGACAGAGGCACCGCUGAGGCAAGAGUGAGGCGAGAGAGCUCCUCAGCCUGGAGGACUCCUAUUUAUUCAGCAGACCUCCCGGCACAGUGCUCCCCUGCCCCGUGCCUCCCCUGCCUGGGGGCAACUCCGUCCAGUCCACAGGUCAGCUGGAGGACUAGAACUCAGGAGAAAACCAGGGUCCCCCUUGGCUUGACGUCUAGUCAGGGUCAGCUCCCAGCAGCUGGCUGAGGAGCCCGGGGUGCAGACCUCGCUCUUCCUUGCUGCCAGCACCUCUCCAGCCCUGUGCUGCUUGCCCCGGCUGGUGUUGCCUGGCCCCUCACCCCCCUGCCCCUGUCGGGGAGUGCUGACAUGGGAGCUUCUGGAAGGAGCUUGCACUCAGCUCAAUGUCCCAUCAGGGCUGAGUCCUGCCAACACCCUUCUGGACUGGCCCUCUGGGGACGGUCAGGACCUGUCUGGAGGUGGUAGAUUCAUUCUGUUCUCUGUGGCUUUUUGUCACUCACAUGCCCAGUUCAUCGCUGAGCUCCCCACCCAAGGGGUGACAGGAGGAGGAGCAGUUGUGCUGCUGAGGGGACACACACUGGCGGGUGGCA
rnacentral:lncRNA from 1 species